AUGGCUGCCUCGCCGUCGUCGACCCUUGUGAGCCCUCCUCGUGUUGACCUCGACGGGGAGGACACGAGCACGCUGGUUCGUGGCACGCCGGAGUGGCUGCGGUGCGCGGGCCUCGUCCGCCGCGCGCUUGAGGCCAACGGGUGGGUCGCCGUCGGGUGUCGCCGCCGCGUACCGCCGGAGCUGCGGGAGCGGAUGCUCGUGGCGAUGGCGGAGCUGUUCGCGCUCCCGCGCGAGACGAAGCGCCGGACCGGCGCCGCGGACGGCCCGUACAGGGCGUACAUGGAGAAGCGGGACUCCGCCGCGUGCCAUCACGAGGCGUUCGGGGUUCUCAACGCGGCCGCCGGCGGCGGCGAGGAGGCCCGGGCGUUCGUUGCGCGCGCGUGGCCGCACGGCAACGACCGCUUCCUGGAGACGCUGACUUCGACGGCCGGAGAGAUGGCGAGGCUGGCCCGCGUGAUCCUCGCCAUGGUCGUCGACGGCUACGGCCUCUCGCACCGCUCCGACGAGAUCGUCGCCGCCACGGACACCAACUUCCGCAUGCUCAGGUACCACAACGACAACACGCGGACGUCGUCGUCGGACGGGCAGCCGGCCGUCGGCCUCGCCGCCCACGUCGACGGGAGCUAUCUGACGGUCCUGUUCCAGAACGACGUGGACGGCUUCGAGAUGAGGACGGGGGACGGCGGGGAGUGGGCGAGGGUGCACUCUCCAGGCCCCGACUCCCUCCUCGUCGUCGCCGGCCAGCCACUCGUGGCUUGGAGUAACGGGAGGCUGCACGCGCCGGUGCACCGGGUGGCCGUCGGCGGGCGGGAGGACCGGCUGUCCUGCGGCGUGUUCCUGCUUCCAAGAAGGAACCUCGUCGUCGACGCGCCGCCAGAGCUGGUCACCGUGGACGCCCCGCGCCGGUUCAGGCCGUUCGAGUACAGUGACUACCUCAGGUUCAAGCACGCCGGCGGCAACGGCGAGGACGUGCUCGACCGCUUCGCUGGGAUUUGA
rnacentral:rRNA from 1 species